GACGAACGCUGGCGGCAGGCCUAACACAUGCAAGUCGGGCGAUCGGCGGACGGGUGAGUAAUGUAUGGGGAUCUGCCUUAUGGAGGGGGAUAACUACUGGAAACUGUAGCUAAUACCGCAUACCAUCAGAUGAUCCCAUAUGGGAUUAGCGUGUAGGUGAGGUAAAGGAGCACAUAGGCGACGAGCCCUAGCUGGUCUGAGAGGAUGCUCGGCCACACUGGGACUGAGACACGGCCAAGACGCCUACGUGAGGGAGCAGUGGGGAAUAUUGGACAAUGGGCGAAAGCCUGAUGCAGCCAGGCCGCGUGUAUGAAGAAGGCCUUCGGGUUGUAAAGUACUUUCAGUCGGGAGGCGUUACCGACAGAAGAAGCACCGGCUAACUCCGGGCCAGCAGCCGCGGUAAUUC
rnacentral:rRNA from 1 species